UCGAACUCCCGAUCUUCCCAUUUGUACCAUCUCAGUGGCUGGGAUUACAGCCUAUGUGUCACUACUCUGAUUUAGAAGGUGCUAGGAAUGGAACUCAUCAGGUUUGGCAUGCUAUGCUGGCAUUCUAACCACUGAGUUACAUACAGCAAACGUUUAUUUUAGGGUUUUUCAAGACAGGAUUUCUGUGUGUAGUCCGUUUGCCUCUGUCUCCAGAGUGCUCCCUUUCUUUCUUGAGACGAGGUUUUUCUAGUGUCCUGGCCUCAGACUCCCGAUGUAGGUGACAUUGACUUUGAACUUCAGAUCCUCCCACGUCUGCCUCCCAAGUGCUGGGAUCAUAAACAUGAGCCACCCCACCAGCUGUAUAUCUUAUGCAGUGUCUAAACCCAGGGAUCCCUGUAUGGUGAGCAAUUUGGUCACCGACUGGGCUACAUUUCCAGCCCCUUCUUAACCAUGUGUUAAUGUAAAACUCCAUGGCAGUAAACCCAUUGAUUCUCCUGUGCAAACAUUGCUUGCUAAUGCUUGCCUCCAGAACUCAGGCAAGGCUUGACCUCACUCUCUAACCCUAGCUAGUCUUGAACUUGGAACCCUCCUGAGUCCACCUGCUAAGUGCUGCUAGGAUCACAAGUAUGUACCACCAGGCAUGGAUCAGAAUUUCCUUUAUACGGGUAAUCGUCCAUUGUUUAGCACCUUGCGUGUGUGUGUGUGUGUGUGUGUGUGUGUGUGUGUGUGUGUGUGUGUGUGUGUGUCUAUGCUAUUCUUUCAUAGUGCUUGAGGUUGAUUUAUCUCUGUUUUCGUUUGUGGAUUCUCUGAAUUCUUUGUGGGCAAAGAUACACGGAAAGCAUGUGGCGCGGCACGUUUUAAAAUCCUAAGAGCUGUGCGAUCCCGGGUUCCAACAUUGAAAUCCAACUGUUUGUAAGAUGUUGACCAAAGCACUGCUGUAUCCUGUGUUUGUUUGUUUGCUUUUCUCUUUGUUUUUCCCAGAGCUCGGAGAGGAGCCCAGGGCUCCACGUGGUCUAUGCCAACGUGGCUCUGAUGAGCUGCAGCCUCACCCCAUUCCGACCCUUCCUUUGGACCCCUCCGCUAAGUUGCCUAGGCAACCAGCCUUGAACUCACUCCGUGGCCCAGCAGGCCUUGCGAGUAUGCUCCUCCUGCCUCAACCUCCCUAGCAGGUGGAUUUAUCAGCCUGUGAGGCCAACCUUGGCUCAAGAUGAAGCACUUAAAUUAUUUUAUCUGUUUGAAUGUUCUGCCUUCUUGUGCAUGCCUAGUGGCCUUGGAGGCCAGAGAAGGCAUUGGUUCUCGUGGGACUGGAACGACAGUAUAAAUUUUCCUCGUGUGUAUCACAAGCUGUCAUGCAUCACAAGAGCCUCCAUCUCAAGCAGGCUUGAGGAAUGAAUGGAAUGGAGUAGCCACAGGCAGGCCUUGGGGCGCUGGAAGGCAUCUGGUUUCUCUCAAACACUCCCACUCUAGUUGCCAGAAUUUUACCAUUUUCUUCAGCGCCUCAUACUUUAAGAUUUUAAGGAUCACGAUGCCGGAUCUGGUGGAUACUAUGCCUGAGCGGUGUCCCUUCGGCUGAGGCUAGACUGAACUGGAAUAACCUCACACUGCUGCUCCUGAUCAGACAAACUUCUUAGUCACAGACACAUCCUCCGUCUGCUCUCUUCCGACUACUUCCGGUGAGCCAACCUUGGCCUGGAGUCUGUCUUUGCUCCUAACUUCGCUUCGUUCCAAGACUGUAAGAACUGACUGCACUCUAGCACACUGUGUGUGGUUGGGAGAGGACCCAUUUCUCAUUGAGUCUGCUUUGGCAGAACCAUUUGAUUUGAUGGGCUACAGCCUGCACUCCCCUUCAGACAAAAUUUGCUAGGACCUUUGAGCCUCAGAGAACAGAGGCUAAGAAACUUAGAGCCUUAGAGAACAGAGCCCAACUUAAAAGUAGUCUAAAAAUGA